UACGGGGGGAGCAAGCGUUGUUCGGAUUUACUGGGCGUAAAGGGCGCGUAGGCGGUCAGCACAAGUCAGUUGUGAAAUCUCCGGGCUUAACUCGGAAAGGUCAACUGAUACUGUGCGACUAGAGUGCGGAAGGGGCAACUGGAAUUCUCGGUGUAGCGGUGAAAUGCGUAGAUAUCGAGAGGAACACCUGCGGCGAAGGCGGGUUGCUGGGCCGACACUGACGCUGAUGCGCGAAAGCGUGGGGAGCGAACGGG
rnacentral:rRNA from 1 species